CUGAGGACCUUGGCGUGAUCACUAAUGGGCCCGGUCGGUUUGCACAACAUUGGACAGACCUGCUGCCUUAACUCCCUGAUUCAGGUGCUGAUUAUGAAUGUGGGAUUAACCAGAUACUGAAGAGGAUGACAGUGCCAAGGGG
rnacentral:lncRNA from 1 species